rnacentral:lncRNA from 1 species
CUGAUUGGAGAAAAAAUAAUCACAUUUUAAUCUUUUCUAAAAUUUUUCUGAAAUAAAUGAAUAACAUCAUCAGAUUCAGCGUGGAUAAUUACACCAAUACACCAAAUUUUAAAAUUUUGCUGGACGAGAAACCACAACGUUACACAUCAAUUGCCGACUUCAGUUUGCGUGUGACCAACCCGUGGCCAACAAAGACUCGAUUUUCUCUCAAAUUUAACCAUUUUGGGGUUUAUUUUGGACCCUAAAAUCAGUAAGUAUUACCUUUUUUCGUCCUUAAUCGUACGAUAUAGAGUUUACCGAAUACAAUUCUAAGAUGUCUUAUUUCGUCCAAUUACUCUCUUUUACUUUGUUUCAGUCUUUUGACUGCGGCCAUGCUGGAGCACCGCCUUUUAGUCGAGCAAAUCGACCCCCGGGACUUAUUCUUUGUAAGCCCAGUACUUAUUCUAUCGGUCUCUUUUUGCCGAACCGCUAAGUGACGGGGACGUAAACACACCAGCAUCGGUUGUCAAGCAAUGCUAGGGGGACAAACACAGACACACACAUAUAUAUACAUAUACAUAUAUAUGACGGGCUUCUUUCAGUUUCCAUCUACCAAAUCCACUCACAAGGCAUUGGUCGGCCCGGGGCUAUAAUAGAAGACACUCGCCCAAGGUGCCACGCAGUGGGACUGAACCCGGAACCUACUUACGAACCCCGAAGCUACUUACCACACAGCCACUCCUGCGUGUGUAUAUGUAUAUAUAUAUAUAUAUAUAUAUAUAUAUAUAUAUAUAUAUAUAUAUAUAUAUAUAUAUAUAUAUAUAUAUAUAUAUAUAUAUAUAUAUAUAUAUAUAUAUACGACGGGCUUCUUUCAGUUUCCAUCUACCAAAUCCACUCAAGGCAUUGGUCGGCCCGGGGCUAUAGCAGAAGACACUUGCCCAAGAUGCCACGCAGUGGGACUGAACCCGGAACCAUGUGGUUGGGAAGCAAGCUACUUACCACACAGCCACUCCCGCGCCUGUAUAUAUAAUUAUAAUAAAGGGUUGAUUGCAACAAGUUGCUUAAACCACAUACCGAAAAUAUUAGAAAUAGCAGCCAAAUAGGUUACCAUUACAACUACUAGAAAAAUAAGUCUUCACAAACAGAAUUUGUGACCCGCUUAUGAUAAAGAGAAUGGCGGUGCCCCAGCAUGGCCACAGCUCGUGAGCUGAAACUAGAUAAAGGAGAUAGACACACAAAGUAAGGAUCGACUAGUCACGACUAGCUAGCGCGAGUGCGCGCACCGGGAAUACAUACUCUUUUACUUUUUUCUGUCCAAUUUGACUGCGGCCAUGCUGGAGCACCGCCUUUUUAAUCGAGCAACUCGACCCCCGGGACUUAUUCUUUUGUAAGCCCAGUACUUAUUCUAUCUGUCUCUUUUUUGCCGAACCGCUAAGUAACGGGGACGUAAACACACCAGCAUCGGUUGUCAAGCAAUGCUAGGGGGACAAACACAAACACAUACACACACACACACACACAUAUAUAUAUAUACAUAUACAUAUAUACGACAGGCUUCUUUCAGUUUCCGUCUACCAAAUCCACUCACAAGGCAUUGGUCGGCCCGGGGCUAUAGCAGAAGACACUCGCCCAAGGUGCCACGCAGUGGGACUGAACCCGGAACCAUGUGGUUGCGGACAAAGUAAAUAAAACGCAAAGUAAAUAAUUUUUAAAAACAAAGGUUAGGGUUAGGGUUAAAAAGUCGUAGGAGCGACUACUUACGACUAGCUUGCGCGAGUGCGCGCACCGGGACCCUAACCUUAGUUUGUUUAUAAAAAUAAUUGGCGAUCUUACGGUAUAUGUACCGGUGUACUUCCGAAAGUACCGGAUACAUUUCAAAAAAGUGGGGUUUUUUUUUUUAUAUAUAUGGGGGGUUAGGAUUAGGGUAUGUGGCGAUACUUCGGUAUAGGUACCGUAAGUGACUUUGUUUACAUUUCUGAAGAUAAGAGAAACCCUUUUCUCCCACCCCUAACCUCCCAUAUACAUUUCUUUACUUCCCACAAGGGGCUAAACACAGAGGGGACAAACAAGGACAGACAAACGGAUUAAGUCGAUUACAUCGACCCCAGUGCGUAACUGGUACUUUAUUUAUCGACCCCGAAAGGAUGAAAGGCAAAAUCGACCUCGGCGGAAUUUGAACUCAGAACGUAACUGCAGAAGAAAUACCUAUUUCUUUACUACCCACAAGGGGCUAAACACAGAGGGGACAAACAAGGACAGACGAAGGGAUUGAGUUGAUUAUAUCGAUCCCAGUGCGAAACUGGUACUUAAUUUAUUGACCCCGAAAGGAUGAAAGGCAAAGUCGACCUCGGCGGAAUUUGAACUCAGAACGCAACGACAGACGAAAUACUGCUAAGCAUUCCGCCCGGCGUGCUAACCACUCUGCCAGCUCACCGAUAUAAAAAAAAAACACAUCUUUUUUUAAAUGUAUCCGGUACUUCCGGAAGUACACCGGUACGUAUACCGUAAGAUCGCCAAAUAAUUUUUUAAACUAAGUAAAUAAAUUAUUUUUUAAAACAAACUAAGGUAAGGGUUAGGGUUAAAAAGUCGUAGGAUCGACUACUUACGACUAGCUUGUGCGAGUGCGCGCACCGGGACCCUAAACUUUGUUUAUGAAAAUAAUUUAUUUACUUCGUUUAAAAAAUUAUUUACUUUGCGUUUUAUUUACUUUGUUCGAAAAAUAUUAUUUAAUUUUCUUUGAUAUUUAUUCAGCCUUGAAAUACAAACAUAGGCGCAAGACGUUGUAGGAUCGACUACUUACGACUACCCAGCACGAGUGCGCGCACCGGGACCACUGUUCGCUAGUAGUACCAUCUUUUUUUUUUAAGCCUAGUACUCCAAUCUUGACCUGGCAGAGUUUCUACGGCUGGAUGCCCUUCCUAACGCCAACCACUCCGAUUAACUUUCAAUAUUCAUAAAGCAAUUUUGAAAUCUUUUUCCAGCCCAGUCAAUGCUGGGUUGGUUCUUCUGCGACAACGUUUACACCCAGAACCACGCUAAGCCUCGUCUGGCACCUGUGUCGGUGGCACAUAAAAACACCAUCCGAGCGUGGCCGUCUGCCAGCCUCGUCUGGCACCUGUGUCGGUGGCACAUAAAAACACCAUCCGAGCGUGGCCGUCUGCCAGCCUCGUCUGGCACCUGUGUCGGUGGCACCUGUGUCGGUGGCACAUAAAAACACCAUCCGAGCGUGGCCGUCUGCCAGCCUCGUCUGGCACCUGUGUCGGUGGCACAUAAAAACACCAUCCGAGCGUGGCCGUCUGCCAGCUUCGUCUGGCACCUGUGUCGGUGGCUCAUAAAAACACCAUCCGAGCGUGGCCGUCUGCCAGCCUCGUCUGGCACCUGUGUCGGUGGCACAUAAAAACACCAUCCGAGCGUGGCCGUCUGCCAGCUUCGUCUGGCACCUGUGUCGGUGGCACAUAAAAACACCAUCCGAGCGUGGCCGUCUGCCAGCCUCGUCUGGCACCUGUGUCGGUGGCACAUAAAAUCACCCACUACACUCUCGGAGUGGUUGGCGUUAGGAAGGGCAUCCAGCUGUAGAAACACUGCCAGAUCUGACUGGCCUGGUGCAGCCUUCGGGCUCCCCAGACCCCAGUUGAACCGUCCAACCCAUGCUAGCAUGGAAAGCGGACGUUAAACGAUGAUGAUUCAGAUAAGACUUUUGCCAGCUGGUCUGCACCCGACAGCCACACCAUUGUCCUGUUUUCGUUAUUCUGUGUAACGUCCUUUCUUUUUUAUUUCAGAUUCCUCAGUUUGUGGGUGGACCACACUAAUCGUGUUUCUCCUCUCUAAGAACAAUGGGACGUGGAAAAGGCCUUAAUGAUGAAGAAAAAUCUGUCAUCAUGAAGGAAAGUGCUAAAGGCACCUCUCUUCAUGUCAUUGCGGAGAAGUUAGGCCGUCAUGUGGACACGGUUAGACGAUUCCUGAAGAACCCUUCGCCAAGGAAGAAACGAUCCGAUCGUGGGACCUCCAAAACUGUGACAGCUAGGGAUUUAAGGAAUAUUGGCCACAAGUUACGUGAGAAACCUGGACAGACAAGCAAAGCCAUUUUCACCGCCUCCGGACUUCCUCAUGUACCGAAAACCACCAGAAACCGCAUCCUCGGGACCAUGGCUUCUGUGCAAGAAACCCAGAAACUGCCUCCUUCAAUGCCCCAUCGAAAAUCUUUGGUCCAUCAUUAAACAAGAUGUUUAUGCCGAUGGAUGCCAAUUUACAUCGAAAGAUGACUUUUGGGUGACCAUCAAAGCAGAGACAGUCCAACCUGCUACUAUUAAGAAAUUGACAGAUCCCAUGAUUAAUAAGGUGUUUGAAGUUAUCCAUUGAAAUGGCACUUGUCUGGCUAAAUAAUUCAUUAUCUCAAUAAAUGUUAUGAUAUUGUCAUGCUUUUCUGUUAACUAUACUCAAUGUAUAUAGGCGUAGGAGUGGCUGUGUAAGUAGCUUGCUUACCAACCACAUGGUUCCGGGUUCAGUCCCACUGCAUGGCACCAUGGGCAAGUGUCUUCUGCUAUAGCCCCGGGCCAACCAAUGCCUUGUGAGUGGAUUUGGUAGACAGAAACUGAAAGAAGCCCAUUUAUAUAUAUAUAUAUAUAUAUGUGUGUGUGUGUGUGUUUGUGCCCCUAGCAUUGCUUGACAACCGAUGCUGGUGUGUUUACGUCCCCGUAACUUAGAGGUUCGGCAAAAAGAGACCGAUAGAAUAAGUACUAGGCUUACAAAGAAUAAGUCCCGGGGUCGAUUUGUUCGACCUAAAGGUGGUGCUCCAGCAUGGCCACAGUCAAAUGACUGAAACAAAUAAAAAGAGAGUAAAAGAAUGUAUGCUUCAUAUGUAUUAAUAUCCUUAAUUUCCUGAAAAAUAAAAUGUCUGCAUCGGCUAUUUUCAUUGAGAAGCUGUUAGUGUGGUUUACGCAAAAACUGAAGAAUCUGAAAUAAUGAAAAGCCUAACCCUUGAGUGGGGAAAGAUCAAAGUUAAAAAGAGGAGGAGGUACAUGGUAACCCAGAUAGGAAAGAACGGCUAGAAAAAGAGGGAGAGAGAGAAGAAAAUAGGGAGACACGGCUACACCAGUUUGGGAAAGGGAAUGGAGGAUAAGGAGAGGUUUAUAGAUGAAGGGGUUUAUAGAUGAAGUUCUUGGCUUAAAGGAUAGAGGUGUUACCUUUACAGGGGUGGUGGGACAAAUGUUUAGGAGAAGAUAUGCAAAAAAUCCUCAUGGUAUACAAUAUCUCGGCACCAAUAAAAGGCGGCGAGCUGGCAGAAUCGUUAGCACACCGGGCGAAAUGAUUAGCAGUAUAUCGUCUGCCGUUACGUUCUGAGUUCAAAUUCCGCCGAGGUCGACUUUGCUUUUCAUCCUUUCGGGGUCGAUAAAUUAAGUACCAGUUACGCACUGAGGUCGAGGUAAUCGACUUAAUCCGUUUGUUUGUCCCCUCUGUGUUUAGCCCCUUGUGAGUAGUAAAGAAUUAGGUAUUUCGCAAGUCGCUACAUUCUGAGGUUGACUGCCUUUCAUCCUUUCGGGGUCGAUUAAAUAAGUACCAGUUACGCACUGGGGUCGAUAUAAUCAACUUAAUCCGUUUGUCUGUCCUUGUUUGUCCCCUCUGUGUUUAGCCCCUUGUGGGUAGUAAAGAAAUAUGUUUGCAAUAUCUCUUUCUCUUCUUUGCAGAUUUAACGCAUGAUGGCAGCCCCUGCAGUGGAUUUUGGUAAAAUUGAAUCACGGGCAAUCAUGAAGUUCCUCUUUUUGCAAGGCAAAGGAGCCGCAGAAAUCCAUGGCAAAAUGAAAAAAGUCUUAAAGGAUGGCUGCCCAUCUUACUCCACAGUGAAAAUCUGGGUAUCAAGGUUUCGGACUGGUCAUUUCGAGGUGACAGAUGAACCCCGUUCAGGACGGCCAGCUUCGGCCACCACAGAGGACAAAACCGAUGCUGUGCAUGUCCUGAUUCUCAAGGACCAACGGAUUUCGGAUAAAUGCAUAGCUGAGGCUCUGGAGAUUUCCCGUGAAAGAGUUAGUCACAUCAUCCACAACAUUCUGGAGAUGAGAAAGCUUUCCACGAAAUGGGUGCCGAAAUGCCUGAACGCAGAUCAGAAGCGCAUGAGGGUGACGGCAUCAAGGGCGAUUUUGGACCGGUUUGCGGCAGGGGAGGCUGAUUUUAUGGAUCGUUUAGUGACCAUGGAUGAAACUUGGCUUCAUCAUUACGACCCCCAGACCAAGCAGCAAUCCAUGGAGUUGCACCGCAGAGAUUCACCACCUCCCAAGAAGUUUCGGAGCCAGAAGUCAUCUGGAAAGAUUCUGGCUUCAGUGUUCUGGGACAGAGACGGAGUACUCCUCAUAAAAUACCUGCCUGUGGAUUGCACCAUCAACACAGAAUACUACAUUUCUCUGUUGGAUGACCUGCAUAAAGCUUUGCAGCAGAAACGCUGUGGAAAGCUGAACCGUGGUCUCCUCUUUUUGCUGGACAAUGCAAAAGCACGUGAAGCUCUGCGGAAAAUACACAACUUUGGUUUCGAAUUGGUAAACCUCCCACCUUAUUCUCCUGACUUGGUCCCCUCCAAUUAUCACCUCUUCCCACAACUGAAGAAACAUCUCGAUGGAACGAAAUUUUACUCCGAUUCAGAAGUGAUCGCUGCUACAGUGGCCUGGUUGCAGGCCCAACCUUCUGAGUUCUUUUUACAAGGUUUAGAAAAACUGAAGGACCGCUGCAAUAAGUGUGUGAAUCUGAGAGGGGAAUAUGUUGAAUAAAAUCAUAAUUAACUGA